UACGGGGGGAGCAAGCGUUGUUCGGAUUUACUGGGCGUAAAGGGCGCGUAGGCGGCGUGACAAGUCACUUGUGAAAUCUCCGGGCUUAACUCGGAACGGUCAAGUGAUACUGUCGUGCUAGAGUACAGAAGGGGCAACUGGAAUUCUCGGUGUAGCGGUGAAAUGCGUAGAUAUCGAGAGGAACACCUGCGGCGAAGGCGGGUUGCUGGGCUGAUACUGACACUGAGAGACGAAAGCUAGGGGAGCGAAUGGG
rnacentral:rRNA from 1 species